UGAGCUUUAAGCUCCAACAAAGUGGUGAUUCGGUCCAGAGACGCAACUCCCUGCCUGUGCGCGUGCAUGAAACAUCCACAGACCGCUGUGCCUGGAGCCGCAGACAACGCUGUCGUCUUAUAUUUCCUGCAGGCCUUAUGAUCUCACAGGAGGAUUAUGCAAUCACUCCCCCAUGACAAAAAUGUUUCGCCUUGAGGGAGUAACACUGAUUUACUCUUUCCCAGACAAAAUAAAUGUCACACAAGACUGACGCUGCAAAUGCACAUGAAGAAAAUGAGACGGGGUCCAAUCAAGCUCCAAUCAAUCGCGCUGUCCCUGGCUUUGUUUGGUGCCUGCUCCCCUCUGCCAAGUCACAUCACUAAUUCUCCAGGCGAUUAGAGUCCGAGCAGGCAACGUCUAUGAGGCAGGUACGCAACGCGCGCGCGCACACGCAUGCGCACGCACACACACACACACACAGCAAAAAACAAACACACACACACACACAAACACACAGACAAUUGCAUUGAUUCCAUUAUCUGGUGCUGUACCAACACCGCCACUUCCCCCAGCAACCACCAACAGUGCCUCCAUCUAUGACCCCUUCUAUCAUAAAUCUGUGUCACCUAAAUACAUCACACACACACACACACACACACACUUAUGCGAGCAUGCAGUAUCUUCAGCUCUUUCUUCCUUUCUUGCCUGAACACUCUAUCAUUGUCCCCGCCUUCCCCCACUCUGUCUCAGCCCUUCCCCUCAUCCUCAUCCUCCUCGUCUCACCCUCGCUUUCUCCCGCUCUAACCCUUCUUUUUCAGACGCAGCAGGACGUCGCCGUGUCCACGCUGCAGUCUACGUUCAUGCAAUGCCAUGUCUCUGAAUGAGCGUCUGUUACUCUGUCGUUUUGUGUGCGUUUGAACAUUGGUGCAUUUGGAGAGCGAGUCAACGUGUGUGAAGGGAGGUGUGUGUGUGUGUGUGCGCGCGCACGCACGCACGUCCUCGUGCACAGCGGUGCACUUAUGCAUCUGUGCGAGUGAGUAUGUUUGUUGGUGUGUGAGGAAGGGAGGGAGGCGGUGGGAGGAGGCGGUGGAGGGAGCUCACAGACGGAGGCUGUGGAUUUUACACAGCAAGAGGAUCAAAGCCACAGCCGGCCCAAAGGUGAUUAAGCUCCGAGCCGUUCUGACCAACACUCCUGCUCCAUAUUUCACCAACACACCAGUCUGCUAUCGGCACAAUUCGCAAAUUCCUGAAUAUCCUCCCAAUCACAUGGGAAGCAAUACGUGAGCCAUUAGAAAUUGUGACAUGACAUAGCUGAACUUUUGCAUAUUUAACAGAAAACUCCCAAAUUACACAAUGUUGUAAACAUUUCAACAGACAAAGGCAAAUUUGUUAUUUCUUUAUCUAUGCAACUAGAGAUAAAUUUAAAAAACAAAAUGAAACUAUUAAAAAAAAAAAAGGCAGCAAAUAUCAUCCAUGAAAUGCUAGUAUUAAAUUCUAAAACGUGCAGGAAGUGGUCAAUUUCAUAAAAUGGCUAGUGGAGAGCAGCUGUAUUGUGACGGAUGUGUUUCCUCUUGAGUUGGAACAUGCCGGGGAGUCGUCUCUUUGUGUGAGUACAGAAAAGAGCAGCGCUUGGCAGAGAUUGCUGAUAUAUGCUCUUUUUUCCCCCUCCUCGCCGGAGCACUGCAACGCAAUGCGGAUACUGAGUGUCUGAGCCACUAGCCAGACACACUGGGGGACCGGGGGGGUCGGGGGGGGGGGGGGGUGAGGAGGAGGAGGCGGUGGGGGCUGGUUGGGGGCUUGCAGGGAGGAGAAGGAGGCGGUAAGCAAGUUCACAUACAGUCUGGGCACACCGUCGUUAUCUGCCAUGACUACAGGGACGGAAGAGGGAGUGAGGACACUUUGUUGACUAAAUGGAUGCACGCCUUAAAAUGGGUCCCAACUAUGCAAUAUGUAAUCAAACCAUAAAAUAGUUCAACAAAAAGCCAAGGUUAUAACAUACCGCAGGGUAAAUUUCAUACUUUCAAACUGUUGAAAACACAGUGCUUUUCACUGUUUUAAUUUACAGACAGUCAAGUGCAACCUGACCCAUAAUGAUAUGAAUUAAAUAUGAGAUCUUUAUCCCUGCGUUUCACGUUCUCGCUCAUACUCCAGCAUAUUGUCGCCUAAAGAGGUGUUAGGUAUUUCUUCUGCAACGGGUGCUAAAAAUGCACAGAAACAAACCGUUAUUGAUAUUUGGCUCUAAAGCCCGUUGGACUGCACCAAGUAAUAUAUCAAAAAGAGCACAGCAGAGCCACAAGAGUAUAUUGAUUCCUGGAUUAGCUGGGCUGUUACUAUUUCAAAUGCAUUACAUUUACAGUCAGUGCAGAAACUGGUCUGAUCUUGUUUUGUAAUUAUGGGCUGGAAAAUAGAAAAAAUAAAUGUUUUAUUAUUAAUUUCAGAACCAAUAAUGGAUAUGGUCUUAAUAGUAAUGCAGCUACUUUGUCCACCUCUGCUAAAGACAUCCAUCAGAUCUUAAGGACCACGACCAUACACACUCCAUUACUUUGUCAUGUUUAAUACACAUUGUCUGGUCAGGUAGUUAGAUUUAAGAUUUAAAUGGGUGGCCUGUAGCCCUAAAAAUACAUCCAAAUUGACAACUUUCUGUCCUUGUCCAGGUCCGUCUUUGAACUUUAGACUUCAUGAGGUAGCGAGGGAUAUCCUUUGUCUGUAGACGGGGCGACACCGCGGGGAAAGCUAGAAGGUUGUACAGUUAUCUCCAGGCUGUUUAUGAUGCGAAACCAUACAACCAACUACCUCACACCGCAGAGCACCAGAGCAGCGCUGGGGAGUCUUCCUCUUCUUCUUCUUCUGUGCUGAGUCUUCUGUGUCUUUUACUUCUUUGUCAUCAUAACCACAAGUAUUUAUAAUCCAGCUAUUUUUCACACAACGUUACAAAAACGGAAAGUAAAAAACAUGUUGGCAACACUUGGAAUUUAAAUAAAUGGUGAACUGGUGAAUUUACUGCACGAGAAGCCUUUUUGGGGAGUUGUCUCCCUCUUGUGGGUAUCCUGAGCACCCCCCCCCCCCCCCCUCCUCCCCACAGGCCCCAGCAGAUCGGUACGUCUCUGAAUACAAAGACAAGCACUUAACCUGCAGCCGCUUUCUGGAGGCGUCUGCCUGACCUCGAUGUGCAACCGGUGGAAUCUUCCUUCGCCUCAAAGCUCUGCUGAGCAAACUUCUUUGUCGCUCCAAGGUUGAAGUUAAAGAUCCUCCUCUUGUUUUCAUUUUACUGAAGCAAUGGUUAGAUUCCAGUGUCAUGGCGUCAGAAGAAGGCUGGUGUUAAACAACACGCCUUCAGCGGGUUGUAGGAGGAGGAUUUGUGUAUUAACUCAAGACAUUUUGUCCACAAAUAUUGUAAAUAUUUAGAGGUACAUUAAAGCUGCAACUGACUAUUCUUUGUCAUUAUGUUUAUGGCUCCAUGGCACGAUGAAUGGCCUUGCUGUGGGAAGUUGGUGUACAAAAAUAAAUUGGUCUUCCCUUGAUUAUGUUCCACAUUAAGUGCUCGCCUGAGUGGCUGAAAGACCUUGAAGCGCUUUGAGCGGUCAGAAGACGAAGAAGAAGCUGUAUAAGUACCGUCCAUUUACCGUUCUCCACAGGACUCGGGGGGGUGGGGGGAGGGCACUUUUGGUUAUUCACAGACCGGAAGUGGGACUCCCGUAUCCCCGUUUAUACAAUUACCGCACCUCAUCCCCAGAUGCCCCGCCGUCAACUCUUUUGCCUACUUGCGAUCUCCGGCUUGAACGUGAAAUACUUUUCGUGUUUCAUUUAAAUUAUUAUCAAGAUCUCUCCCCCCAAGGGGCUAAAUAUUCCUUGGAAAUCUAUGAUAAAACUGACUUUGUGGGGGAGGAUCAUUAUCAAGUGUUCCCAGACAGAAUAGAGGAAGUAGUGAAGAAACAUUAAAGAGGGCGAAAACGUUGCAACUGGCCGCGAGCGAGUCGGAUGGAAUGAAGAAUGAAUGAAUCUGACUCCAUUUCUGUUGUCAAAACGUUUCAUUUUCUCACUGUAAAUAAAGAUAACUGAAGUAUGUCA